rnacentral:rRNA from 1 species
CAGUCGCCGCGGUAAUACAGAGGGUGCAAGCGUUAAUCGGAAUUACUGGGCGUAAAGCGCGCGUAGGUGGUUUGUUAAGUUGGAUGUGAAAUCCCCGGGCUCAACCUGGGAACUGCAUCCAAAACUGGCAGGCUAGAGUAGGGCAGAGGGUGGUGGAAUUUCCUGUGUAGCGGUGAAAUGCGUAGAUAUAGGAAGGAACACCAGUGGCGAAGGCGACCACCUGGACUGAUACUGACACUGAGGUGCGAAAGCGUGGGGAGCAAACAGGAUUAGAUACCCCUGUAGUCCCUGUCUCUUAUAC